AUGGAAGGUGCGGCAGCGAAUGGACUUGGAGGGGAGGAAAACAUCGUCGUCAAGGCCCGCAAGGAGGACGUCGCCGUGGCCGCGCCGGUGGAUGUGGAUGGUGGUGAUCACGUGGAUCUCGCUGACGGGGAUGCGCUGGUCGGAUCUGCAACCGCGGUGCCAUCUACCGAGGAGCCGGCCAGGGCGCCUACCAAGAAGGUUGGAUCUGCGGACGCGAGCGGGAGGAAGAAGGGGAAUGUGCUGAACGGCAAGGUGGUGUCUGCUUCGGCGGCACCGCGGGGGAAGAAGCCCGGUCUGUCGCAAAGCGCCUCCUUCCCGGCGAGAGGGACCACCGGCGUCAGGAAGGGUGGCGCUAUGACCUCCCUGGCAAAGCAAGCCAAGCCAGAGGGGAAGGGUGCCGUGCCAAAUGGAACUGCAGCGUCCUCGGGACGGGGCACGGAGAAGAAGGGGAAUUUGGCUCAGAUGCCUGCCGCUCAUCAAUCCAUGCCUGUGAAGCCUGAAUCGGUGGACUCAACUCCAAACGACACUUCUUCUGAAGUCCAAGAGUCAAAUGAGAACACUGCCAAACCUUACAGGCAGUCAUUUCCAGCGAAAAUGGAGGACGAUGUGCACUCCACUACAUCGAGCACGAAUACUCAACGCAAGAAUGCUGCUGCCUCUGGUUUUAGUUUCCGAUUGGAGGAGCGUGCUGAGAAGCGCAAAGAGUUCUUAAAAAAACUUGAGGAGAAAAUUCAUGCCAAGGAGAUUGAACAAACGAAUUUGCAGGAAAAAUCUAAGGAGAGCCAAGAGGCCGAGAUUAAAAGGCUUAGGAAGAGCCUGACAUUUAAAGCAGCACCCAUGCCAAGCUUCUAUAAGGAGCAGCCUCCUAAAGUUGAGUUGAAAAAGAUUGCACCAACACGUGCUAGGUCACCGAAGCUUGGCCGACACAAGCCAACCAGUUCUGUCACUGCUGCUUCUGCAGAUGGUUCUGUCUCAUGUGAGAGCCCACGGCGCACAACUAAUCCAGCCAAGGUAAACAGAGGCGUGGAAAAUAAUAAACCUCGGGUUACUGCUAGCAAACCUGGCCAGAGAUUGGUCACAAAAGCUCCCUCCCUAGCAUCUAUCACUGCAAAGGCUGAAACGAGACCUAUCGCUACAAAGCAGAAAACCUCCAAGACAAAACCAAAAGUUUCAAGAGAAAAGGUACAGCAGCUGCUAGAGAACCCAGUAGAAAUCCCACCUGCAGAACCUUCUGCCUUGGAAGGGCUUGCUGCUGAACCAAGUGUUGAAGAUGAGACAGGACUUGGCUCGACUACCCCUCCGGUCACUUCAAAUGAGGUACUGGUCCAUGGCUGA
rnacentral:rRNA from 1 species